ensembl:lncRNA
GGGUGUUCUGGGUGGUCUAGAGAAGGAGCUUGAUGGUAAAUGGGGUGUUCUGGGUGGUCUAGAGAAGGAGCUUGAUGGUAAAUGGGGUGUUCUGGGUGGUCUAGAGAAGGAGCUUGAUGGUAAAUGGGGUGGUCUGGGUGGUCUAGAGAAGGAGCUUGAUGGUAAAUGGGGUGGUCUGGGUGGUCUAGAGAAGGAGCUUGAUGGUAAAUGGGAUGGUCUGGAGAAGGAGCUUGAUGGUAAAUGGGAUGGUCUAGAGAAGGAGCUUGAUGGUAAAUGGGAUGGUCUAGAGAAGGAGCUUGAUGGUAAAUGGGAUGGUCUAGAGAAGGAGCUUGAUGGUAAAUGGGGUGGUCUGGGUGGUCUAGAGAAGGAGCUUCAUGGUAAAUGGGAUGGUCUGGGUGGUCUAGAGAAGGAGCUUCAUGUAAAAUGGGAUGGU